AGGGUUUGAUCAUGGCUCAGGACGAACGCUGGCGGCGGGCCUAACACAUGCAAGUCGAACGCACUCGACCUUCGGGUCACAUGAGUGAGUGGCGAACGGGUGAGUAACACGUGAGAAACCUGUCCCGAAGACUGGAAUAACCCGAGGAAACUCGGGCUAAUACCGGAUAUCCCCACCGGAUCACAUGGUCUGGUGAGGAAAUGCUCCGGCGCUUCGGGAGGGUCUCGCGGCCUAUCAGUUAGUUGGUGAGGUAACGGCUCACCAAGGCAUCGACGGGUAGCUGGUCUGAGAGGACGAUCAGCCACACUGGGACUGAGACACGGCCCAGACUCCUACGGGAGGCAGCAGUGGGGAAUCUUGCGCAAUGGGCGAAAGCCUGACGCAGCCACGCCGCGUGAGGGAUGAAGGCUUUCGGGUUGUAAACCUCUUUCAGCAGGGACGAAAAUGACGGUACCUGCAGAAGAAGCUCCGGCCAACUACGUGCCAGCAGCCGCGGUAAUUC
rnacentral:rRNA from 1 species